UGCUCCUCUGUCACAUUCUAUGGCUGGGCUUACUAACACUUAAUCAAAUCUGAAACAUAACAGUGGUAUUCUUGCUCUACACCAGAGUUAGAUUUGACAUUUUAGAAUUAUAUUUUUUAAAUAAUUGUUUUAUUAUGUAUAUUUAUUGAAUAAGUCAAAUCUCACAUAAGUAAGUACAGACACAAUCAAGCAAUGUGAAAAAGAGUCGCUAGAAUGAUAGGACCAGUGAAUAUCUGUAAAGCCAGGGUGAAUGUCGUUAAAAUAAAUACAACAAAGUAUUAUUUGAGAAGUGUUGAACAGCUGCUCUCUCUCACUCUCCGUGCUUUAGGUGUGGGAUGAACAGCUGCUCUCUCUCACUCUCCAUGCUUUAGGUGUGGGAUGAACAGCUGCUCUCUCUCACUCUCCAUGCUUUAGGUGUGGGAUGAACAGCUGCUCUCUCUCACUCUCCAUGCUUUAGGUGUGGGAUGAACAGCUGCUCUCUCUCACUCUCCAUGCUUUAGGUGUGGGAUGAACAGCUGCUCUCUCUCACUCUCCAUGCUUUAGGUGUGGGAUGAACAGCUGCUCUCUCUCACUCUCCAUGCUUUAGGUGUGGGAUGAACAGCUGCUCUCUCUCACUCUCCAUGCUUUAGGUGUGGGAUGAACAGCUGCUCUCUCUCACUCUCCAUGCUUUAGGUGUGGGAUGAACAGCUGCUCUCUCUCACUCUCCCCAUGCUUUAGGUGUGGGAUGAACAGCUGCUCUCUCUCACUCUCCCCAUGCUUUAGGUGUGGGAUGAACAGCUGCUCUCUCUCACUCUCCAUGCUUUAGGUGUGGGAUGAACAGCUGCUCUCUCUCACUCUCCAUGCUUUAGGUGUGGGAUGAACAGCUGCUCUCUCUCACUCUCCAUGCUUUAGGUGUGGGAUGAACAGCUGCUCUCUCUCACUCUCCAUGCUUUAGGUGUGGGAUGAACAGCUGCUCUCUCUCACUCUCCCCAUGCUUUAGGUGUGGGAUGAACAGCUGCUCUCUCUCAC